rnacentral:rRNA from 1 species
AAUAGAUACCCCGGUAGUCCACGCCGUAAACGAUGAGUGCUAAGUGUUAGGGGGUUUCCGCCCCUUAGUGCUGCAGCUAACGCAUUAAGCACUCCGCCUGGGGAGUACGGUCGCAAGACUGAAACUCAAAGGAAUUGACGGGGGCCCGCACAAGCGGUGGAGCAUGUGGUUUAAUUCGAAGCAACGCGAAGAACCUUACCAGGUCUUGACAUCCCGUUGACCACUGUAGAGAUAUAGUUUCCCCUUCGGGGGCAACGGUGACAGGUGGUGCAUGGUUGUCGUCAGCUCGUGUCGUGAGAUGUUGGGUUAAGUCCCGCAACGAGCGCAACCCUUGAUCUUAGUUGCCAUCAUUUAGUUGGGCACUCUAAGGUGACUGCCGGUGACAAACCGGAGGAAGGUGGGGAUGACGUCAAAUCAUCAUGCCCCUUAUGACCUGGGCUACACACGUGCUACAAUGGACGAUACAAACGGUUGCCAACUCGCGAGAGGGAGCUAAUCCGAUAAAGUCGUUCUCAGUUCGGAUUGUAGGCUGCAACUCGCCUAC